AACAUCGCGCACCUGCGGGAACCUGCGGAGGGAUCAUUACCGAAGUUACUCUUCAUACCCUUAUGUGAACCCUACCCCUCGCCGCGCGGUUGCCUCGGCGGGAGGUCGCGGAGCCCCGGCCCCGCGGCCCCCGCCGGCCGCGCCCAACUCUUCUUCUGCAAAGCGGACUGCAAGUUCUGAUUACAUCUUGAAAAACAAGUCAAAACUUUCAACAACGGAUCUCAGAUCGGAAGAGCACAC
rnacentral:misc_RNA from 1 species